CUGAACUCCUCAGAUUGGCAUGAGCUCUCCUGCCAAGCCGUGUUUCCUCCAGAGAUCAGGCUGGAUUUGAAUAUACCUAUCCAUCCCUCAGAUGAUGAGACGAUAAAGACAUGUGGGAAACAGUCCUCAAGUAGCUCCCCAGACUCGAGGCCCGGGAGACCAGGCAAAUAUACAUCCCCCUGCUUCCCUCACAGUGUGAGAACACUGUCUCCUCAGCAUGGAUGAAAAGUAAGCGGCGGUGCCCGGGCCUAUCAGAUCUGUCAGCGCGGCGCCUGGCAAGAAGAGGGAAGGGUAAAUGCUAUUGUGUGCACCAUUCUGCUUGGUGGGUUCCUCUCCUCGGCAGGGGAGGGGGAAAGAAACACACACACACACACAACAAGGCACAGGGUGUACGACGCGGGGGCAGAGACAUUUGUUAUCGAAAUGGAAAUGCGGCUCUUUGUGGAUGAAGGUGUAUCUGCUUCCCAUUGUCUCUCGCAGCAGCCCGGUGAAAGGCUCCUUUGAUGGCUCCGUGUUUGUGCACCGGCUAUGAAAUUGCUUUAGAAGACAAUGAGCGCAUUUAUUGAUAAUGAAAAGGAGGGGCGGGCUGCGUUUCUCUAUUUCCCCAAGAGCAGCUGUCAAAGGCUUGCAGAGAAAAACUGGGAGACUGGGCCAGGCCGGCGAGCGGGUGAUGGACAGGGAGCCUCAUAGCUCCCGUACAGAGCUAAUGUGACCAUCUGGCCUGAUUUAACAGGGCUACUCUACUCUAACGCUUUAAAAAUCCUCCAGGCUGCUCAUGCUCUACCCAACUCAUCAGCUUCCAUUAGCGGUGAGGAGAAGAAUACCUCUGUCUGACAAUCCCUGCAUGGAGCCCAUUAUCCCACACACCGAGAAGCAACCCUCCUGGAGGAGAUACCAACCUGUUAAACCUCUGCAGACAGGCAUGGAGAGGACAUUCCAUAGCUCCCAGGGAGGCCUGGUGAAUGGGAGGAUGAAUUCCUGGGGCGCUCAUCUAGACCCAACAUUGGGUUUCAGGGAAUCUGGAGCGAAUGCUGAGUCUGGAGAAGCUCUGCUUCGGCUGUGUGUGUGUGGGGAGGGGGCUAUCAGAGGUGAUAUCCUGGAGAGGUGGGCAAUUUGCAGGAGCACAGUGAUUAUGGGGACCUUGUAUAGAUUCAAGUUAGAACAGAAGCAUAGAAUUGUAGGGUUGGCAGGGACCUCAGGCGGUCACUUCAUCCAGCCCCCCACCAGUGGCAGGAGUUUGAAGCCGAGGGCAUUUCUCAGACCUCCCUACAUUACAACUUAGGGUAGGAAGAACUCAAGCCUCAAGCUUAUUCCUGGAUUCUAGCGCUCACCAAAUGACCCUGGUUAGACCUUGGCAAGGGAAACUGAACAGAA